rnacentral:misc_RNA from 1 species
UCCGGUUUGUCACCGGCAGUCUCUGCAGCUUUCCGGCAUAUGUCAAACCCAGGUAAGGUUCUUCGCGUUGCAUCGAAUUAAUCCGCAUGCUCCGCCGCUUGUGCGGGCCCCCGUCAAUUCCUUUGAGUUUUAGCCUUGCGGCCGUACUCCCCAGGCGGGGCACUUAAUGCGUUAGCUUCGGCACGGAGAACGUGGAAUGUCCCCCACACCUAGUGCCCACCGUUUACGGCGUGGACUAC